rfam:Oikopleura dioica, whole genome shotgun assembly, reference scaffold set, scaffold scaffold_101
AAAUCGGCCCUUUUUAGGGCCACAUAAAAAUGACCUUCAUCUGAAUU